GGGCCUGUAGUUAAGUGGCAUAACGGCGCAUUCGCAUUGCGCAAGCGCGAGUUCGAUUCUCGCCAGGUCCACAA
rnacentral:tRNA from 1 species